GCUGUCCUCGCACAUCGGCAAGCACUUCUACGAGAGAAAGAAGGAGCCUUUGUCAUUGAACCUGCAGAGCAAGAAGCUGGCCUUGGACAUCCAGAGAACCAUCCAGGGAACAACAACCUCCAUUUCUAAGAAAGGCUGCUACUGCAUGGCUUAUGUGGCCCACUCUGGGAUGGCUGCAGAUGAAAUAACAGAGAAUAUUGAUUCAGCUGUCAGCACCAUUGUGACAAAACUACGGGUUAGAAAGGACCGUUGAUAAAGGUCAUCCACUUGAAAAGCCAAUCAGUGCCUCUGCCCAUCUACACCUCUAACCUGAGUAACCUGACCCUUAUAGAUGAAACACAGAAACAGACCCGCGCAGCCAUGGAUGCCAAGGUGAUCCUUUACAAGACACUGAGGACUGAGUACAAGCCCUUUGAAGCCGAACGACGGCUGCUGGGGAACUUUGACAUGUUUCUUUCAGACGACAGCUUUCGCCGCCUGCUGUCCUCGCACAUCGGCAAGCACUUCUACGAGAGAAAGAAGGAGCCUUUGUCAUUGAACCUGCAGAGCAAGAAGCUGGCCUUGGACAUCCAGAGAACCAUCCAGGGAACAACAACCUCCAUUUCUAAGAAAGGCUGCUACUGCAUGGCUUAUGUGGCCCACUCUGGGAUGGCUGCAGAUGAAAUAACAGAGAAUAUUGAUUCAGCUGUCAGCACCAUUGUGACAAAACUACGGGUUAGAAAGGACCGUUGAUAAAGGUCAUCCACUUGAAAAGCCAAUCAGUGCCUCUGCCCAUCUACACCUCUAACCUGAGUAACCUGACCCUUAUAGAUGAAACACAGAAACAGACCCGCGCAGCCAUGGAUGCCAAGGUGAUCCUUUACAAGACACUGAGGACUGAGUACAAGCCCUUUGAAGCCGAACGACGGCUGCUGGGGAACUUUGACAUGUUUCUUUCAGACGACCGCUUUCGCCGCCUGCUGUCCUCGCACAUCGGCAAGCACUUCUACGAGAGAAAGAAAAAAAUGCGCGGAAACAGAAGUCUGCAAAGAAAGAACAGAAGUCUACAGAAAAAAACUCUGGUGCUGACAGGGAGGAAGAGGUUCCCAUAGUAAUGCCAAGGAAAAAGGCUAAAGUGGAGGUCUGUACCCCGCUAGUGUCAAACCAAAUGCAUUUAAAUAUUAUUAGUUCAUCAAUUAACUAUUUUUGUCAAAUAACAUUUUUCAAAGGACUCUGUGCACUGGUUUGGAACUUGUUUCACUCUCCUUAUGAAUUUUGGUUUAAAUCCAAUGCUAUAUGAAACUUAUUCCAGUGAGGCAGGGGAGCGGUGUCCCUUUUAUGGUGUUUCCCUGUUCACUCUCUGGGAACACUGCCCCCCCAGUGGAAGUUAAUUGACCGACCUCUGUCUCUACAGAAAGACUCCUCUCAGUACUGUGCAAAUUGUUUUCUUCUCUCUGAUCCGCGUAGAAGCCGACCAAGAAGGGACUUGUGAAGGUACCCAAACCAACAGGAGGAAAGGUAUAAAAUAAAAAAUGACCAAGAAGGCUGCAAAAAUACCCUCACAAAAUAUGAAAAGAUAAGUACCUAAAUUUGAAUGUCUGUUUGUCAACUCAGUGGAACACAACUCUCCUUUCUCUCCUCAUUGCUACCUGUGUAUUACUCCCCCUUCUCUAAAUGGAACUCUGACUUCAUUAUACUGAUAUAAAAAGGACUGGUUCUAAAUGUAUAUAUACUGUCAAUGUUAAUUGAUCCAAG